rnacentral:rRNA from 1 species
CGGCCAUAGUGGGUGAUAGCCCCGUAUGUGAAAGGUUCUUUGAAGUGAAAUCGAGUAGGACGGAGCACGAGAAACUUUGUCUGAAUAUGGGGGGACCAUCCUCCAAGGCUAAAUACUACUGACUGACCGAUAGUGAACCAGUACCGUGAGGGAAAGGCGAAAAGAACCCCGGAGAGGGGAGUGAAAUAGAACCUGAAACCGUAUGCGUACAAGCAGUGGGAGCCUACUUGUUAGGUGACUGCGUACCUUUUGUAUAAUGGGUCAGCGACUUAUAUUCAGUGGCGAGCUUAACCGAAUAGGGAAGGCGUAGCGAAAGCGAGUCUUAAUAGGGCGAAUUAGUCGCUGGGUAUAGACCCGAAACCGGGCGAUCUAUCCAUGAGCAGGUUGAAGGUUAGGUAACACUGACUGGAGGACCGAACCCACUCCCGUUGAAAAGGUAGGGGAUGACUUGUGGAUCGGAGUGAAAGGCUAAUCAAGCUCGGAGAUAGCUGGUUCUCCUCGAAAGCUAUUUAGGUAGCGCCUCACGUAUCACUCCAGGGGGGUAGAGCACUGUUUCGGCUAGGGGGUCAUCCCGACUUACCAAACCGAUGCAAACUCCGAAUACCUGGAAGUGUCAGCGUGGGAGACACACGGCGGGUGCUAACGUCCGUCGUGAAAAGGGAAACAACCCAGACCGUCAGCUAAGGUCCCAAAGUUAU